rnacentral:miRNA from 1 species
CCUCAUCAAUCUGAAGGAAAUCCUUCCAAUCAAUGAGGUAUAACAACCUCAUCAACCAGAAGGGAUUCCUUCUGAUUGAUGAGGUGGAACAGCCUCAUUGACCGGAAGGAAUCCCUUCCGGCCGAUGAGG